GGGCACAUGGUGUAGUUGGUUAUCACGCUCGCUUAGCAUUUAUCCUAUUGCAUGCGAGAGGUGUUGGGUUCAAUUCCCAAUGCGUCCA